UUCUUGCUAGUUCAAGGGAAGAACAAGAUACUUCUAAUAUCUAAAUUCAAGUUCGAAUCUUGAGUAAGAUA